UCUUUAUGAAGAUGCAUAAAAACAUUAACAAAUGCUAAUUAAGAACACUUUUAUUGUAGCGAUCGCCUGAGGUUCCCCCAAGGAUUUGCCACUUGGCCAGGACUUUAAUGGCCCAUCAGCAGAUCUGAAGAUUACAUGGGAAUAUUACAGGUAGCUGCCUGCCAUUCAUUUGAAUGAGAGAUCUUUUGCAGACGCCUGUCAUUAGAUAUGUCACUGGCCCUGCUUGCAGAUUCUGCCUUGUGCAAGUACAUUCCAUUAUUCUCUGGCCACAGCCCUUCUCAUGCAGCUCCAGUUUGGCUGGAAGCCAGCAGAUACAUCCUGAAUGACUGGAUCACAAUGUCAGAUGACCAGCUCCCCGUCAUUGGCUUGAGUAUUACCUUUGUCAAUGGUUCCACAUACUGCAAUGGAAGCCCAAUUUGCUCCUAGACAUCAACUAUUUCUCUUCAGCUGAGACCCAGAGGGGGGGGGACCACAAUCUCUGCAUUUUGUGCACUAGUGGAACCCUGCAGUCACAUGGCCUCAAUACAAAGUUGGACUUUGCUGUAUUUAAUAGACUGUGGAACUGUAAUUAAUAUGGAUCUGAAGGAGCCUUUUCUCUUCACUUCAUUCCAUUGGCUUUGGUUAGCUUGCUCCUAUUUCCUGCAGGAGGAGAAACCACUUAGCCACACUCUGGGAGUUUGCAGUAAAGUAACAUCCGCUCCCAUUUAGGAAUCAUUCCAGUCAAUAACAAUAAAAAUGUUUAUUUAGCUGUACACACAUUCUAACAAGGAAAAAAUAAGA